rnacentral:lncRNA from 1 species
GUUCCUUUGCCAUCUGACCAGAGUGUAUCUGCAGAGCACCAAGCUACCCUGCUUCCCUGUCCCUUUUUGACCUUUUUACUUAGAGUGGUAGUCAUCUCUAAGAGCAUGUGACUCAGGGUGCGUAAUGUCAGGGAUCAGGCUGAACUAUUACAGACACAGUGGUUUAGCAGCCAAGGAGCAGUUCCUCUGACUCAGGCUGCCCAGGGUUUUCUGAGGAUUCAUUCUCAGGCAACUUUGCCACUCUGACGGUAAUAGCUUCAUAACCCCAAGGAGAAAUUCUGAAUUACAACAUGGCAAGAUCCAGGACAGGUCCUGACAAUGAGAAGCGACUUCAGCCACCUGUAACGUACCAGAUCCAUAAAGAGAAGCCUGACAGUUCACCAGGGAGAGAAGUGAUACCUGUCCUCAUAUUUGCUGGCAGCUGUUUUGCAGUAGAAGAGCCAGCCAUUCACCUCUCUGACAGGAACAGAGCACAAGAUUAAAUUUUUUCAUACUUUACAAAAAGGGUAUUUCAACAGAAAAUUGAUAUAAUGCUUUUUAUGAAAAGAAAUCUCACAUUUGGC